UACGUAGGGUGCGAGCGUUGUCCGGAAUUAUUGGGCGUAAAGGGCUCGUAGGCGGUUUGUCACGUCAGGUGUGAAAACUCGGGGCUCAACCCCGAGCCUGCUUCUGAUACGGGCAGACUGGAGGUAUGCAGGGGAGAACGGAAUUCCUGGUGUAGCGGUGAAAUGCGCAGAUAUCAGGAGGAACACCGGUGGCGAAGGCGGGUCUCUGGGCAGUAACUGACGCUGAGGAGCGAAAGCGUGGGGAGCGAACAGG
rnacentral:rRNA from 1 species